UACGAAGGUGGCAAGCGUUGUUCGGAUUUACUGGGCGUACAGGGAGCGUAGGCGGUUGGAUAAGCCCUCCGUGAAAUCUCCAGGCUUAACCUGGAAAGUGCAGAGGGGACUGUUCAGCUAGAGGAUGGGAGAGGAGCGCGGAAUUCCCGGUGUAGCGGUGAAAUGCGUAGAUAUCAGUCGGAACACCGGUGGCGAAGGCAGCCCCCUGGGUCAACACUGACGCUCAUGCACGAAAGCGUGGGGAGCAAACAGG
rnacentral:rRNA from 1 species